rnacentral:rRNA from 1 species
CCUACGGGAGGCAGCAGUGAGGAAUAUUGGUCAAUGGACGGAAGUCUGAACCAGCCAUGCCGCGUGCAGGAAGACGGCUCUAUGAGUUGUAAACUGCUUUUGUACAAGGGUAAACCUGAAGACGUGUCUUCAGCUGAAUGUACGGUAAGAAUAAGGAUCGGCUAACUCCGUGCCAGCAGCCGCGGUAAUACGGAGGAUCCAAGCGUUAUCCGGAUUUAUUGGGUUUAAAGGGUGCGUAGGCGGAUUGAUAAGUUAGAGGUGAAAUGCCCGGGCUUAACUCGGGAACUGCCUCUAAUACUGGUGAUCUAGAGAGUAGAUGAGGUAGGCGGAAUGUGUGGUGUAGCGGUGAAAUGCUUAGAGAUCAUACAGAACACCGAUUGCGAAGGCAGCUUACCAAUCUAUAUCUGACGUUGAGGCACGAAAGCGUGGGGAGCGAACAGGAUUAGAUACCCCUGUAGUC